rnacentral:ncRNA from 1 species
AACAAAGCGAUAAUGAAAAAGAGUAGUAUUAUCGAUUGCCAAAGAGAGCUAGCGGUGGUGGGAGCUAGUGCAUGACAUAAUAUGAAUGGGCUUUCUAGCUUCUAGUUUCGAAAAUUUACAGUAGAUUCUAGCGUAUUUGUUGCGUUACAACAGUUAGAGUGGACUAGAUUAACCAUUUGAUCUGGUCAAUGAAGGUGGCACCACGGCUUUUUUCGUCCUUUGU